AGUGGCGCACGGGUGAGUAACGCGUAUGCAACCUGCCUUUAACAGAGGGAUAGCCCAUAGAAAUGUGGAUUAAUACCUCAUAGUUCUUUUGUUCCGCAUGGGACAAAAGAUAAAGCUCCGGCGGUUAAAGAUGGGCAUGCGUGACAUUAGUUAGUUGGUGAGGUAACGGCUCACCAAGACUACGAUGUCUAGGGGUUCUGAGAGGAUGAUCCCCCACACUGGUACUGAGACACGGACCAGACUCCUACGGGAGGCAGCAGUGAGGAAUAUUGGUCAAUGGGCGCAAGCCUGAACCAGCCAUCCCGCGUGCAGGAUGACGGCCCUAUGGGUUGUAAACUGCUUUUAUACACCAAGAAAAAUCCCCACGUGUGGGGACCCGACGGUAGUGUAUGAAUAAGCAUCGGCUAACUCCGUGCCAGCAGCCGCGGUAAUACGGAGGAUGCGAGCGUUAUCCGGAUUCAUUGGGUUUAAAGGGUGCGUAGGCGGCUUUUUAAGUCAGUGGUGAAAUCCUGCCGCUUAACGGUAGAAUUGCCAUUGAUACUGAAGAGCUUGAGUACAAUUGAGGUAAGCGGAAUGUGUAGUGUAGCGGUGAAAUGCUUAGAUAUUACACAGAACACCGAUUGCGAAGGCAGCUUACUAAACUGUCACUGACGCUGAUGCACGAAAGCGUGGGGAGCGAACAGGAUUAGAUACCCUGGUAGUCCACGCC
rnacentral:rRNA from 1 species